CCUACGGGAGGCAGCAGUGGGGAAUAUUGCACAAUGGGGGAAACCCUGAUGCAGCGACGCCGCGUGAGUGAUGAAGUAUUUCGGUACGUAAAGCUCUAUCAGCAGGGAAGAAAAUGACGGUACCUGACUAAGAAGCCCCGUCUACCUACGUGCCAGCAGCCGCGGUAAUACGUCGGGGGCCAGCGUUAUCCGGAUUUACUGGGUGUAAAGGGAGUGUAGACGGCAGCGCAAGUCUGAAGUGAAAUCCCAGGGCUUAACCAUGGACCUGCUUUGGAAACUGUGCCGCUGGAGUGCAGGGGAGGUAAGCGGAAUUCGUAGUGUAGCGGUGAAAUGCGUAGAUAUUAGGAGGAACACCAGUGGCGAAGGCGGCUUACUGGACUGUAACUGACGUUGAGGCUCGAAAGCGUGGGGAGCAAACAGGAUUAGAUACCCGAGUAGUC
rnacentral:rRNA from 1 species